GACAGAGGUGCCGAGCGUUAGGCGGAAUCACUGGGCUUAAAGCGUGUGUAGGCGGAUCGUUAAGUGCCUUGUGAAAGCCCACGGCUCAACCGUGGAAGCGCACCCAAAACUGCUUCGCUCGAGUCUCGGAGAGGAAGGUGGAAUGCUUGGUGUAGAGGUGAAAUUCGUAGAUAUCAAGCAGAACACCUGCGGCGAAGGCGGCCUUCUGGACGAUGACUGACGCUGAGACACGAAAGCGUGGGGAGCAAACAGG
rnacentral:rRNA from 1 species